rnacentral:rRNA from 1 species
AGUGAACGCUGGCGGUAGGCCUAACACAUGCAAGUCGAACGGCAGCACAGGAGAGCUUGCUCUCUGGGUGGCGAGUGGCGGACGGGUGAGGAAUACAUCGGAAUCUACCUUUUCGUGGGGGAUAACGUAGGGAGACUUACGCUAAUACCGCAUACGACCUACGGGUGAAAGUGGGGGACCGCAAGGCCUCACGCGAUUAGAUGAGCCGAUGUCCGAUUAGCUAGUUGGCGGGGUAAUGGCCCACCAAGGCGACGAUCGGUAGCUGGUCUGAGAGGAUGAUCAGCCACACUGGAACUGAGACACGGUCCAGACUCCUACGGGAGGCAGCAGUGGGGAAUACUGGACAAUGGGCGCAAGCCUGAUCCAGCCAUACCGCGUGGGUGAAGAAGGCCUUCGGGUUGUAAAGCCCUUUUGUUGGGAAAGAAAUCCUGUCGAUUAAUACUCGGUGGGGAUGACGGUACCCAAAGAAUAAGCACCGGCUAACUUCGUGCCAGCAGCCGCAGUAACAC